AUUGAACGCUGGCGGCAGGCCUAACACAUGCAAGUCGAGCGGAGCGGCGGACGGGUGAGUAAUGCCUAGGAAUCGGCCUGGUAGUGGGGGAUAACGUCCGGAAACGGGAGCUAAUGCCGCAUACUCUCAGAUUAGCAUAGGUCGGAGUAGCUAGUUGGGGGGGUAAAGGCCUCCCAAGGCGACGACCCAUAACUGGUCUGAGAGGAUAAUCAGUCACACUGGAACUGAGACACGGGCCAGACUCCUAAGGGAGGCAGCAGUGGGGAAUAUUGGACAAUGGGCGCAAGCCUGAUCCAGCCAUGCCGCGUGUGUGAAGAAGGUCUUCGGAUUGUAAAGUACUUUAAGUUGGGAGGCGUUACCAACAGAAGAAGCACCGGCUAACUUCGUGCCAGCAGCCGCGGUAAUUC
rnacentral:rRNA from 1 species